rnacentral:lncRNA from 1 species
CGGUGGUGUUACACACAUUCACACUGUUGCAGGCGUGCAGGUCGGUGGUGUUACACACAUUUGGGCUGUUGCAGGCGUACAGGUCAGUGGUGUUACACACAUGCUGUUGCAGGAGUACAGGUCGGUGGUGUUACACACAUUCAUGCUGUUGCAGGCGUGCAGGUCGGUGGUGUUACACACAUGCUGUUGCAGGCGUGCAGGUCGGUGGUGUUACAUUCACACUGUUGCAGGCGUGCAGGUCGGUGGUACACACAUUCACACUGUUGCAGGCGUGCAGGUCGGUGGUGUUACACACAUUCAUGGUGUUGCAGGCGUGCAGGUCGGUGUUACACACAUGCUGUUGCAGGCGUGCAGGUCGGUGGUACAUUCAUGCUGUUGCAGGCGUGCAGGUCGGUGGUGUUACACAUUUUCACGCUGUUGCAGACGUGCAGGUCAGUGGUGUUACAUUCAUGCUGUUGCAGGCGUGCAGGUCGGUGGUGUUACAUUCACGCUGGUGCAGGCAUGCAGGUCGGUGGUGUUACACACAACGCUGUUGCAGGCGUGCAGGUCAGUGGUACACACAUUCACGCUAUUGCAGGCGUGCA